rnacentral:lncRNA from 1 species
AUGCAUAUUUAUAGUUUAAAUCAUUUAUUUUUAUUUGACUGCUUUACUCUCUCUGUCUCUCUCUCCAUUUCCCUCCCUCCCUCUCUCUCUCUUCCUCUCUCUCACUCUCGCUCUCUCUCUCCCCAUCUCUCAGGACAGACUCUGCUCCUUCUCUUAAACUGGCUCCUCCUCCUGCCAGGAGAAAACCUGGUGAUGAGUUCCAGCGGUCAGGGAGGGUGUAUGAGGACCUCCCCAACACAGCAGACUAUGUCAGCUACCGACUGGCCUGCAACAAGGAUGACUACCCAGAACCCUACUCUCCCCCCAUCAACCCUCCCCUCUCCCUCCCCGACUCUCCACCUAUCAACCCCCCCCUCUCCUUCCUCUCCCAGCACGCCUACACCCACUCCAACAAUACCUUCUCCCCCGCCUCCCAUCCCUCCUCUGUCUUCAGAUAUCCUUCCCUCCCCUCCCUAUCCCCCCCUCCCGGCCUUGCACCCUACACCUUCCCUAAAGAACAGUAUGUCUGACCUGUAUCCACUGACCUGUAACACUUCUCUAGAGACCAUGGACCAACAGCUUUUCUCUGUCUUCUGUUCCCCUCUCCUUCAUCUUCUGUUCAUCCACUGACCUCAGAAUGUUUUCCAAUCCUAGAUAUGAGUGUGUGUGUGUGUGUUUAAAGUGUGUUUUGUGCAAGUGGGCAUUGUCAUGCUGAAACAGGAAAGGGCCUUCCCCAAACUGUUACCACAAAGUUGGAAGCACAGAAUUCAAUGUUAUUGAAUUAUUUCCCUUCACUGGAACUAAGAUGCCUAGCCCGAACCAUGAACAACUGCCCCAGACCAUUAUUCCUCCUUCGCCAAACUUUACAGUUGGCACUAUGCAUACAAGAAGGAAGCGUUCUCCUGGCAUCCACUAAACCCAGAUUCCUCGGACUGCCAGAUAAUGAAGAGUGAUUCAUAACUCCAUAGAACGUGUUUCCACUGCUCCAAAGUCCAAUGGCGGCAAGAUUUACACCACUCCAACCGAUGCUUGGCAUUGCGCAUGGUGAUCUUAGGCUUGUGUGCGGCUGCUCGGCCAUUUAAUGAACCUCCCGACGAACAGUUCUUGUGCUGACGUUGCUUCCAGAAGCAGUUUGGAACUCAGUAGUGAGUGUUGCAACCGAUGACAAACAAUUUUUACGGUGAUAUGCUCUUCAGCACUACGCAGUCCCGUUUUGUGAGCUUAUGUGGCCUAUCAUUUCACAGCUGAGCCGCUGCUGCUCCUAGACAUUUCCACUUCACAAUAACAGCACUUACAGUAGACGGGGCAGCUCUAGCAGGCCAGAAAUUUGAUUAACUGACUUGUUGGAAAGGUGGCAUCCUUUGACGGUGCCACGUUGAAAGUCACUAAGGUCUUCAGUAAGGCCAUUCUACUGCGAAUGUUUGAAUGUGGAGAUUGCAUGGGUGUGCGCUCAAUUUUAUACACCUGUCAGCAACGGCUGAAAUAGCCCAAUCCACUAAGUUGAAGUGGUGUAGCAGCAGCGUAUAUGAUGAUUGUAUGUGAGUGGGUGUGUCAGUAUACUGUAUGGAUAUGUACAAAUUAUGUGUGUGUAUGCAGAUGAUGGAGUGUUUUGUAUGUGUGUUGGAGUAUCAGUGUAUAGGGCCCUGUGAGUGUGCAUAGAGACUGUGAAAAAUAAAAAUACAAUACAAAGGUCAUCCCCGAUAGUCCGUGUAGCCAUUUUGUUAGCUAUUUAGUUAGCUAUUUAGUAGUCUUAUGGCAUGGGGAUAGAAGCCUUUCAGGAGCCUGUUGAUGUCAGACUUGAUGCACCGGUACUGCGCGGAAGCAGAGUGAACAGUCUAUGGCUUGGGUGGUUGGAGUCUUUAAUUAUUUGCCAGGCCUUCCUUUCACACCACCUGAUAUAGAGGUCCUGGAUGGCAUGGAGCUCGGCCCCAGUGAUGUACUGGUCUGUCCUCACCACCCUCUAUAGCACCAUGUGAUCAAGGGGGUGCUAUUGCCAUACCAAGCAGUAAUGCAGCCAGUCAAUAGGAACCCAGGAGGGGACUAAGCACGCACCCCUGAGGGGCCCCAGUGUUGAGGAUCAGCGUGGCAGAAGUGUUGUUAACUACCCUCACCACCUGGGAUCGGCCCGUCAGGAAGUCCAGGAUCCAGUUGCAGAGGUGAUGUUAACUACCCUCACCACCUGGGAUCGGCCCGUCAGGAAGUUCAGGAUCCAGUUGCAGAGGGAGGUGUUCAGUCCCCGGGUCCUAAGGUUGGUGAGGAGCGUGCAUUGGACAAUGGUGUUGAACUUGUGUUUGUGUCUCUGUAAGUAAACAACGUCUAGCUUCAAAAUAUGCUGCAUUUCCUCAGGUUGAAAAGCAAUUGACAUGCUUUAAAUCCCAGGUCACAGUAACAUAAACCUUCAGAUGCACAACUAACCCUAACCUUAACCCAAACCCACACCUCAAGUAGGGUAUUGUCCCAAACCCAGACCUCUAGUAGGACAUUACCCCAAAUCCAAACCUCUAGUAGGACAUUACCCCAAACCUAGACCUCUAGUAGGACAUUACCCCAAACCCAGAUCUAUAGUAGGGCAUUACCCCAAACCCAGAACUCUAGUAGGACAUUAACUCAAACCCAACCCUCUAGUAGGACAUUACCGCAAACCUCUAGUAGGAUAUUACCCCAAACCCAGACCUCUAGUUGGACAUUACCCCAAUCCGAAAGCUUUAGUAGGACAUUACCAAACCCAAAGCUCUAGUAGGACAUUUUCCCCAAACCCAGACCUCUAGCAGGAAAUUAAAACUUCUUACGAUUUGACAACAGCCAGUGAAAGUGCAGGAUGGCAAAUUCAAACAACAUAAUCUCAUAAAUACAAUUCCUCAAACAUACAUGUAUUAUACACCAUUUUAAAGAUAAACUUGUUGUUAAUCCCACCACAGUGUCCGAUUUCAAAAAGGCUUUACGACGAAAGCAUACCAUGGUCAGCGCCAAGUCACAGAAAAACACAGCCAUUUUUCCAGUCAAAGAGGAGUCACAAAAAGCAGAAAUAGAGAAAAUUAAUCACUAACCUUUGAUGAUCUUCAUCAGGUGAGACUCAUAGGACUUCAUGUUACAAAAUACAUGUAUGUUUUGUUCGAUAAAGUAAUGUAGGACAUUACCCCAAACCCAACCCUCUAGUAGGACAUUACCCCAACCCAGACCUCUAGUAGGACAUUACCCCAAACCUCUAUUAGGACAUUACCCCAAACCUAGAUAUCUAGUAGGACAUUACUCCAAACCCAGAUCUCUAGUAGGACAUUACUCCAAACCCAGAGCUCUAGUAGGACAGUAACUCAAACCCAGAUCUCUAGUAGGACAGUAAACUCAAACCUCUAGUAGGACAUUACUCCAAACCCAGAUCUCUAGUAGGACAUUACUCCAAACCCAGAUCUCUAGCAGGACAUUACUCCAAACCCAGAGCUCUAGUAGGACAUUACUCCAAACCCAGAGCUCUAGUAGGGACAGUAAACUCAAACCUCUAGUAGGAUAUACACCAAACCAGAUCUCUAGCAGGACAUACUCAACCCAGACCUCUAGUAGACAUUACCCCAAACCCAGAC